UACGUAGGGUGCGAGCGUUAAUCGGAAUUACUGGGCGUAAAGCGUGCGCAGGCGGUUCGUUGUGUCGGUGGUGAAAUCCCCGGGCUUAACCUGGGAACUGCGUUUGAAACUGGAAGGCUAGAGUGUGGCAGAGGGGGGUGGAAUUCCACGUGUAGCAGUGAAAUGCGUAGAUAUGUGGAGGAACACCGAUGGCGAAGGCAGCCCCCUGGGCUAACACUGACGCUCAUGCACGAAAGCGUGGGGAGCAAACAGG
rnacentral:rRNA from 1 species